AAAUAUUUUGAUUUCAUAUCAAAUGUUUUUAUAAUCCUCUAAGAAGUUCUGAAUAU
rnacentral:snoRNA from 1 species